AAUGAGCAUCAUGUAUCAGAAUAUCCAUUCUUCAUUAUUCAGAUGAGAAAUAAUCAUGGGAGGAGUCAGUAAAAUCCUUUACAUAAUAAAUUGGCAGCUGACCUUCUAUAU